rnacentral:rRNA from 1 species
CGGACGACGCUGGCGGCGUGCCUAACACAUGCAAGUCGAACGGGGGGAACAUGAAGUAUUUCGGUACGGAAUGCGCCCCUAGUGGCGAACGGGUGAGUAACACGUGGGCAACCUGCCCCAGACUGGGGGAUAACAUUGUGAAAACAGUGCUAAUACCGCAUGACAGGGUUCCGGGCAUCCGGGACCCUUGAAAGGAGAAAUCCGGUCAGGGAUGGGCCCGCGUCCAAUUAGCUAGUUGGCGGGGUAACGGCCCACCAAGGCGACGAUUGGUAGCCGAACUGAGAGGUUGAUCGGCCACAUUGGGACUGAGACACGGCCCAGACUCCUACGGGAGGCAGCAGUGGGGAAUAUUGGGCAAUGGGCGAAAGCCUGACCCAGCGACGCCGCGUGAAGGAUGAAGGUCUUCGGGUUGUAAACCGCUUUUGUCAGGGAAGAAAUCUUCUGGGUUAAUACCUCGGGAGGAUGACGGUACCUGAAGAAUAAGCACCGGCUAACUACGUG